rnacentral:rRNA from 1 species
CAUGGGCAGCGUGCCCGGGACUUAAGUGUGCCUGUACAACAGGCCCUUUUUUAUUAUGUAAAAAGUACUGAGAAUAAGGGGUGGGCAAGACUAGUGCCAGCCUCCGCGGUAAAACUAGCAUCCCAAGUGGUAGUCGCGAUUAUUUGGCUUAAAGCGUCCGUAGUCGGGCUGUUUAGUCUUCUGUGAAAUCCUGCGGCUUAACCGUAGGGCUUGCAGAGGAUACUGGCGGCCUUGGAGCCGGGUGAGGUUGGGGGUAUUCCUAGGGUAGCGGCGAAAUGCUAUAAUCCUAGGAGGACCACCGAUAGCGAAGGCACCCAACUAGAACGGGCUCGACGAUGAGGGACGAGAGCUAGGGGAGCAAACCGGAUUAGAUACCCGGGUAGUCCUAGCCGUAAACGAUGCAGGCUGAGUGUCUCCUGAACCUCGAGUUCAGGAGGUGCUGAAGGGAAACCGUUAAGCCUGCCGCCUGGGGAGUACGGUCGCAAGGCUGAAACUUAAAGGAAUUGGCGGGGGAGCACCACAAGGGGUGGAGUCUGCGGUUCAAUUGGAUACAACGCCGAGAAACUUACCAGGGGUGACGGCAGUAUGACAGCCAAGCUAAUGACUUUGCUUAACGAGCCGAGAGGUGGUGCAUGGCCGUCGUCAGCUCGUACCGUGAGGCGUGCGGUUAAGUCCGUUAACGAGCGAGACCCGUACCUCUAUUUGCGAACCCGUUCGAGGGAAUGGGAGCACUAUAGAGGGACCGCUGGCGAUGAGUCAGAGGAAGGCGCGGUCGACGAUAGGUCUGUAUGCCCCGAAUCUCCUGGGCUACACGUGGACUACAUGGCACGGACAUUGGAUGCAACGCCGUGAGGCGGAGCCAUCCCCUAAACCGUGUCCCAGUUCGGAUCGAGGAAUGAACUCACCCUCGUGAAGUGAAAUCCUUAAACCGCGGCCUAUCCACGGAAUCC